UUGGUAUUUUUAGUAGAACUGCUAAAAUUGCUGUUUUUUAACCGUUAUGAAUUGUUCAAUUUUAACCAUUUUCCGAGUUCAUGAAGAAAUUUUUGAUUAUGGUUGAAAUUCAACAAAAAAAUGCGUGAAAAAACAGUCGCCAUGUUUGCAAUCGCAGAAGUGUUUGUUUUGUUUCUGGUUCCGCGUUGGACUUAGAUUAUAUAAAUCUCCUUAAAGAUUUAAGAUUAAAGAUAACACAAACUAUGAAAGUUGGAGCAAAUAUGGGUUAUGUUAUCUGGAGUCGGAAGCAGCAGCAGUCCCGCCGAAGACAGCUCCAGCUGCCGUCAUAUGUUAGGAAUGUUCCGAAACUCUCUACGUUUGCUGCAUCAGAAGGUUCCGAAAAUAUGCUGGGAAUCACCGGCACUAGAAUCACAGAAGAGCGGGAAACUGAACAUCGCAGGAAAGGCAGCACCGCAUCAUCCGUAACUGUGAUAGCAGUGCCGAAGCAAUCAUUCCCCCGGCCGGCUAAACUUUCUUCCGCUAAUGCAACUUAGUAGUGCCAGUAGACCACUCUUUUACUAGCAUCAAGCAGAUACCAGUGAGGGCAAUCAAAAAUCAAUGUUUAAUAUAAAAAAAUCUGUUGAAAAUCUGAUUG